rnacentral:rRNA from 1 species
CAGCCGCCGCGGUAAUACGAAGGGUGCAAGCGUUACUCGGAAUUACUGGGCGUAAAGCGUGCGUAGGUGGUGGUUUAAGUCCGUUGUGAAAGCCCUGGGCUCAACCUGGGAAUUGCAGUGGAUACUGGGUCACUAGAGUGUGGUAGAGGAUAGUGGAAUUUCCGGUGUAGCAGUGAAAUGCGUAGAGAUCGGAAGGAACAUCUGUGGCGAAGGCGACUAUCUGGGCCAACACUGACACUGAGACACGAAAGCGUGGGGAGCAAACAGGAUUAGAUACCCGCGUAGUCCCUGUCUCUUAUAC